AUAAAGAUAAAUAAAAGAGAAUAAUGAUAUUAAAGAAAGGAUAAGAUUGAGGAUGUUGGACUGUAAUGGAACUGACGGGUUUAUUACAGGUCAUUAAUCGCUGACGAGCAAUGAGAGGAAGGAUCGAGCUACGGGCCGUGGUCUUCCAUAAUUAGGCUUGAGGAGCCAUAAGUUAACGUAUGUUAAAAACUAAGAAAAGAAAGUAAAAGAUCUUGCGGUGAGCAAGACGGAAGCUUGUCUGUUAUAGCUUACUAGGAAAGUUUAAGCUAUAUGCUUGUUGUUUGAGUCUAUGCUUAUGAAAUAGAAAUUGUGUGAAAGUAUAAUCGUGUUAUUGUGAUUCGGUGGACAGUUUUGACUGCCUUCACUGAAUAAUUAAUUACUCACCCCCUUUUCUUUUCCCUCAGGUGAGGAAGAGAAUGUUGAGUAGCUGCUCGCUUGGUGUUAUUUCGGGGACUUUGGGUUUUAUUUGAUUUAUCGUUAUUUCUUAU
rnacentral:sRNA from 1 species